UAUCCUAGCGACCCGUUUACAACCUCUUGACCGGCUAGAUAACCAACUGAUACAGUACCUUGCCAGCUUCUUCUGUUCAAAUCCGAAUUUUUCAACAACCUACAUCGGUGCCCUAACUUCCUCUCUCUUUCCUUAUCUGUUAUUCAAGAUUCAGCCUUUCAUUCUGACAUUGAAGUCGAGCGCAUGUGAGCCCUAACGCUGGCGUUCUGAGAUGCCGUUUUUCAGGCUUCAAGUAUCGUGAUCAAGCAGAGGUUGUCAGGUGCUGUUGAGCUUUAUUCGCUAGGCGAGGUCUCCGCUAGCUGAUUCGGAAAAAGGACAAGCUUCUCGAAAUGGCAGUUCUUCAAAAAGAGUUGUGAUCACAAGCAGCAAUAGACUGAGGCUCACCUUCAACGACGAGCAGGGAAUCAUGGCGUGGCUCUUCUGGUGAAUUUGCCGAGGGAUUCUCAAGCCGGUUGGUAGCAAGCCUCGGUCGAUUGUCUACUUCGCAGAGGGUUCAAACUUAAAAUUCUGGAGUUGCUCAUUGAUGUUGGCAUAAGUGGAUGAGCAUAACAGAUUAGAAAGAUUUUUAGGACUCUACAAAUUCUUUAUUACUUUUCUUAUUUCACAUUAUUGUUUUAUUUUGCAGCUAAUAAUUGCAACAAAACCGGAUCCAGAGCAUAUGAGAAAUCGCCAAAAAUUGUAACUGAAGACAACAUCAAGUUACUUUUUUUAAUACAGAAAAAGGUUGAUGCAAUCCAAGCAAAUUAUUCUGGCUUACUAAUAUCACUAACGGACAUAUGCAUGAAGCCGUUACGCCAGGAUUGUGCAACUCAAAGUGUGCUGCAGGUAUCAAUUUCGCAUGACCUAGACUAUAAGGGUGUUUAAGGAUGCAAAUGGUCUUGAUAUAGUUGCAGAAGAUGAGUCAGCAGCUAUUCCUAGAGUUACUAGGCGGGGAAUUUCAGAGGUAUGUGCAAUUACACCCGUUCAGAUAACUAAAGACCUAUCAACUGCUCAGCAAAGGAAUGACGUAUUCUUAUUUUUCAAAUAUGGAUGAUCACACAAAAGACUGAAAUAUCAGGGUAUGUGUUUGUAGGUGGGAGUCAUAAACACAAAAGAUGGCAACUAAUAAGUCUUGUUUGGCAUUCCCAUAACAUAUAUAUGGCAGGGAAAGAUGGUGAAGAUUUUUAUGUUGAUAUUGGUGAUUCAGAGUCUGGGAAAAAUGUAGCACGUGAAGAUAUGUCGUCUAAAGACAUGUUGGAUACUGGAAAUGCCAUGGAAGCUUUAACCAGAGUGGACUUGGACUUGGCAUACUCUUCCGAGAAAUCAGUUAAUCUAGACACACUUAUGAUGCAUGUUUGGGCAUGGGAAAAAGAAUUUGAAGCUCUGGCUACAGAUGAUAUAUCUGUUGAUUACAUAGAGAAAGCAUUGGCAUAUGAUUUCUUUUCGGGUAUCUUAGAAUCAGAGGUAAGAGCACCGGAAAAUUUCAUGAGUACCCUUCAACUUCAGAUGGUUGAUGCACGGCUUAAAAUAUCUUCAUGCGGCCACUUAAGAGAAUUUUUCACUGCAGUGGAGGUUAAAUUGUACAUUCUGGCGAGUCUCUAAAGCAAUCACAGGAGAAUGCACUGGAAAUGAAGAUGCAGUUAACCAAGUUGCAAAUGACAUCCCUGGCGUUCAAUCCAACCUAUUGGAAAUAUAACAGUAACACAGGUUUGCCAGAUGAUUCUCAAGGGUCACUUAUGAGGCCACAAUUGCAAACAGCUGAACAGAGACAUGUUUUAAGAAUGUUGGAAAAGUCUCUUGCAUGAGAGCUUGAUUUUGAGAAAAAGCUAACAGCACUUAAACAAAAUGAAGAAGAUUUGAAAUUGAAGCUACAACUAACCGAGCAGGUAUCAGAUCGAGAUCAUGAACCAGUAAAAAUUGUGGAGAUCAUGGAACAUAAUGAAGUGAUGCAAUGGUAAAACAAUGCAAAUAAGGCAUCAGAAAGAUCAGCAACAUCCUUUGGUGAUUUAUUUGUAGUGGUUUUUUUUUGAUUGAUUCAAUGAGUAUCUGAACUUGAACCAAACUCUUGAUAAUCAAAAAAACUAUGUAUAAUAUUUAUCUACAUUUUCUGGUUUA